AUGCUCCGACCGCGCCUCUUCGUUCCUCCAUCGCGCGCCCUGCAUCUUCGGCCCCGACGUCGGCGCGCCCGCUUCGUCCUGCGCCUACAUCGACCCCGACUCCGCGCAGGUCUGCACCGCGCCGCUCGGCCUCCGUUCCCGCGCCUCGUCCGUCUCGCGCGCCCGCGUCCGGCCCUGCUCCCGAGCCGGCUGCUGCUCCGUGGUCGGCAGGAGGCUCCGUCGACGCGCCCGCCUCAUCCCGGGCCGGCUGCGCCCCGGUCCUUCGUCGCCAGGUCCCCCGCACCUCCCGCUACCUGGCCCUGCUCGUCCUCGCCCGAGCUCGCCCUGCCGCUGGCUUGCCGGCCGCCUUCCCGGACGGCUACGAGGUGCUGGAGAGGGAUUCGGGGCUCCUCGAGCACGCCGGACGCCGACCACGCCCGCCCGAGCUGGACAUCGGACUCCUCCAGCGCCGCUCCGCCCCACACCGAUGCGCUCCGUGCUCGAGAGAGAGAGAGAGGGGCAGGCGAGAAGAAAGAGGAAAAGAGAGGAGAGAGGUUGUGGGAGGCCGACAGUGGGCCAACCGCAAGAAAAAGGCGUCGCCGGCACGCCCAGCUGCUCCCCAGGGGGCUGGGUUUGGGGUGGUACUGCCGGCGUCAAUUUUCUCUAAAUCCGGCGAAAAGUGGGGCUUUGGGGGCACGAAUGGGGGGAUAUUUUAGUGCCGGCGUCCAAAAAGUGGCCGUGGGGGGCAUCUUGGGGGACGGCUGGAGAUGCUCUAAGGUUUGCCCCUACACAAACAAGUCAGCAAGGCAAAAGGGUCCCUACUACUCUCCCAUGGUGUCCACUGGUACAGACCAUUCCCUCCCCUUUAUCUUGGAUGCUCUUAUAACCAGGGUACUCUACUGGUUUGGUUUUGUACUUUCAACAUUCCAAGAAGUAGUAUUCCAGUGCAAUCAGAAAGUCACUCAGUUGAUAGGAAUUUCGAGAUAG
rnacentral:rRNA from 1 species